AAUGGCGUUGGCGGUACUCAAUCACAUCCAGCUAGCCGGCGUCCUGGGAGAGUUCACCUGCUAACGUGGUCGUCUAAGAAACGCCGCUCCGGUUCUGAUCUCGCCACGGGAGUUACCUGACCUUCAGAAGUUCAUCCAACAGUAAACCUCAAGGGUCCUGUGUGAAAAGCUCCAGAUUGGGAACCAGAGGAGUUCAAUCCUGCCUUCAUCCUUCCCAGGGGUGAUACUAAAGUUACUUUACAACAGAUGUGGCACAGAUGUGGGAAAGGUUCCAACCAUGCAGAACAGAAGCGGCUCAGUGCUGGGGCAGGGGCCUGGAUGUUCCUUACUGGUGGACCAGGUAUCUAGAAUUAGAUCUUAAGGAGAUCUGGGGUGAUUCAGAGGAUUGAAGGGUGAGUCUUUUGGGGGUUUGAGGGAAGUGGCUAUUUACUAACCACGACUGAAGUAUUUCAGGUUUAUUUUUUAGAGGCGGGUAGGAAUGUGCUAAAACUGGAUU